GACGAACGCUGGCGGCGUGCUUAACACAUGCAAGUCGAACGGAAAGGCUCCAGCUUGCUGGAGUACUCGAGUGGCGAACGGGUGAGUAACACGUGGGUAAUCUGCCCUGCACUCUGGGAUAAGCCUGGGAAACUGGGUCUAAUACUGGAUAUGACCUUUCUCCUUAUGGGGUUUGGUGGAAAGUUUUUCGGUGUAGGAUGAGCCCGCGGCCUAUCAGCUUGUUGGUGGGGUGAUGGCCUACCAAGGCGACGACGGGUAGCCGGCCUGAGAGGGUGAUCGGCCACAUUGGGACUGAGAUACGGCCCAGACUCCUACGGGAGGCAGCAGUGGGGAAUAUUGCACAAUGGGUGGAAGCCUGAUGCAGCGACGCCGCGUGAGGGAUGACGGCCUUCGGGUUGUAAACCUCUUUCAGCAGGGACGAAGCGUAAGUGACGGUACCUGCAGAAGAAGCACCGGCUAACUAUGUG
rnacentral:rRNA from 1 species